rnacentral:rRNA from 1 species
UGGAGAGUUUGAUCCUGGCUCAGGAUGAACGCUGGCGGCGUGCCUAAUACAUGCAAGUCGAGCGAACAGAUAAGGAGCUUGCUCCUUUGACGUUAGCGGCGGACGGGUGAGUAACACGUGGGUAACCUACCUAUAAGACUGGAAUAACUCCGGGAAACCGGGGCUAAUGCCGGAUAACAUUUAGAACCGCAUGGUUCUAAAGUGAAAGAUGGUUUUGCUAUCACUUAUAGAUGGACCCGCGCCGUAUUAGCUAGUUGGUAAGGUAACGGCUUACCAAGGCAACGAUACGUAGCCGACCUGAGAGGGUGAUCGGCCACACUGGAACUGAGACACGGUCCAGACUCCUACGGGAGGCAGCAGUAGGGAAUCUUCCGCAAUGGGCGAAAGCCUGACGGAGCAACGCCGCGUGAGUGAUGAAGGUCUUCGGAUCGUAAAACUCUGUUAUUAGGGAAGAACAAAUGUGUAAGUAACUGUGCACGUCUUGACGGUACCUAAUCAGAAAG